rnacentral:rRNA from 1 species
GACGAACGCUGGCGGCGUGCUUAACACAUGCAAGUCGAACGGAAAGGCCCUGCUUUUGUGGGGUGCUCGAGUGGCGAACGGGUGAGUAACACGUGAGUAACCUGCCCUUUACUUUGGGAUAACUUCAGGAAACUGGGGCUAAUACCGGAUAGGAGCUCCUGCUGCAUGGUGGGGGUUGGAAAGUUUCGGCGGUUGGGGAUGGACUCGCGGCUUAUCAGCUUGUUGGUGGGGUAGUGGCUUACCAAGGCUUUGACGGGUAGCCGGCCUGAGAGGGUGACCGGCAACAUGGGGACUGAGAUACGGCCCAGACUCCUACGGGGGGCAGCAGUGGGGAAUAUUGCACAAUGGGCGGAAGCCUGAUGCAGCAACGCCGCGUGCGGGAUGACGGCCUUCGGGUUGUAAACCGCUUUCGCCUGUGACGAAGCGUGAGUGACGGUAAUGGGUAAAGAAGCACCGGCUAACUACGUG